rnacentral:rRNA from 1 species
UACGAAGGGGGGCUAGCGUUGCUCGGAAUCACUGGGCGUAAAGGGUGCGUAGGCGGGUCUUUUAAGUCAGGGGUGAAAUCCUGGAGCUCAACUCCAGAACUGCCUUUGAUACUGGGGAUCUCGAGACCGGAAGAGGUGAGUGGAACUGCGAGUGUAGAGGUGAAAUUCGUAGAUAUUCGCAAGAACACCAGUGGCGAAGGCGGCUCACUGGUCCGGUUCUGACGCUGAGGCGCGAAAGCCAGGGGGAGCAAAGCGGG